rnacentral:pre_miRNA from 1 species
UCCAGAAAUUUCUUUUAAGUAACCUUUUAUAUUCAAAAGUUUUUUUUUCUUGGAUAUACAUGUACUUAUUUUUUUUAUUUAUUUCUGGU